AGUGAACGCUGGCGGUAGGCCUAACACAUGCAAGUCGAACGGCAGCACAGUAAGAGCUUGCUCUUACGGGUGGCGAGUGGCGGACGGGUGAGGAAUACAUCGGAAUCUACUUUUUCGUGGGGGAUAACGUAGGGAAACUUACGCUAAUACCGCAUACGACCUACGGGUGAAAGCAGGGGAUCUUCGGACCUUGCGCGAUUGAAUGAGCCGAUGUCGGAUUAGCUAGUUGGCGGGGUAAAGGCCCACCAAGGUGACGAUCCGUAGCUGGUCUGAGAGGACGAUCAGCCACACUGGAACUGAGACACGGUCCAGACUCCUACGGGAGGCAGCAGUGGGGAAUAUUGGACAAUGGGCGCAAGCCUGAUCCAGCCAUACCGCGUGGGUGAAGAAGGCCUUCGGGUUGUAAAGCCCUUUUGUUGGGAAAGAAAAGCAGCAGGUUAAUACCCCGCUGUUCUGACGGUACCCAAAGAAUAAGCACCGGCUAACUUCGUG
rnacentral:rRNA from 1 species